rnacentral:miRNA from 1 species
CUCAAUAAAUGCUUGUCGAAUC